AUAAUACUCCCUCCGUCCGAAAAUACUUGUCGAGAAAAUGAAUGUAUCUAGAAGUAUUUUAGUUUUAGAUACAUCAAUUUUCGCGAGAAGUAAUUCUGCACGGAGGGAGUAUAUA
rfam:Triticum aestivum genome assembly, contig: Triticum_aestivum_CS42_TGACv1_scaffold_210766_3AS